rnacentral:lncRNA from 1 species
AUCAUCUCUGAGGGAGCGAGUGCUGCAUCACGGACUGGGAAGCCUGGUCUCUGGGGGAGUGAGGCGCUAAUCCUGCCUGACAAACGGGAUGUGGUCUUUGGUCUUGUCCAGAACAGUAGACAACUGCUUCUUCUGGUAAUUUCUCUGGGAUGGUGUUUUUGUCAUUUGCUGUGUUUCAUCACUGAAGCUGCUGCUGAAUGUCUUGGUGGCCUCAUCGCAGACCUUGUGCAGCCAGACCAGGCUCAGAAUGUCUCGCUGUCUGAAGCAGCUCACGACUGAGAGUGCCAACCUCUCGGUAGACUGUCGAAAAGCAGGGCAGAAACUCCACACUGGUGGUAUGUUCUAUAAUUACAUUUCAACAACCCAGUAACAAAUGUGAGCCCC